GUGGGGAAUAUUGCACAAUGGGCGAAAGCCUGAUGCAGCGACGCCGCGUGAGGGAUGACGGCCUUCGGGUUGUAAACCUCUUUCAGCAGGGACGAAGCGAAAGUGACGGUACCUGCAGAAGAAGCGCCGGCCAACUACGUGCCAGCAGCCGCGGUAAUACGUAGGGCGCAAGCGUUGUCCGGAAUUAUUGGGCGUAAAGAGCUCGUAGGCGGUUUAUCACGUCGGCUGUGAAAACCCGAGGCUUAACCUCGGGCCUGCAGUCGAUACGGGUUGACUAGAGUGAAGCAGGGGAGACUGGAAUUCCUGGUGUAGCGGUGAAAUGCGCAGAUAUCAGGAGGAACACCGGUGGCGAAGGCGGGUCUCUGGGCUUUAACUGACGCUGAGGAGCGAAAGCGUGGGUAGCGAACAGG
rnacentral:rRNA from 1 species